rnacentral:rRNA from 1 species
AGCAGCCGCGGUAAUUCCAGCUCCAAUAGCGUAUAUUAAAGUUGUUGCAGUUAAAAAGCUCGUAGUUGAAUUUCGGGAUUGACGUGACGGUCGUGCCUUAAGGGGUAUGAACUGUCGCCGUUGAUUUCUCACCUUCUGGAGAAGCUCGAUGUCCUUAAUUGGAUGUCUUGUGGAACCAGGACCUUUACCUUGAAAAAAUUAGAGUGUUUAAAGCAGGCAUUUUGCUCGAAUACAUUAGCAUGGAAUAAUAGAAUAGGACGGCAUGGUUCUAUUUUGUUGGUUUCUAGGAUCACCGUAAUGAUUAAUAGGGAUAGUUGGGGGCAUUAGUAUUCAAUUGUCAGAGGUGAAAUUCUUGGAUUUAUUGAAGACUAACUACUGCGAAAGCAUUUGCCAAGGAUGUUUUCAUUAAUCAAGAACGAAAGUUAGGGGAUCGAAGACGAUCAGAUACCGUCGUAGUCUUAACCAUAAACUAUGCCGACUAGGAAUCAGACGAUGUUAAUUUUUUAAUGACUC